rnacentral:rRNA from 1 species
AUUGAACGCUGGCGGCAGGCCUAACACAUGCACGUCGACCGAGUGGCGGACGGGUGAGUAAUGUCUGGGAAACUGCCCGAUGGAGGGGGAUAACUACUGGACCCGGUAGCUAAUACCGCCUACCAUCGGAUGUGCCCAGAUGGGAUUAGCUAGUAGGUGGGGUAACGGCUCCCCUAGGCGACGAUCCCUAGCUGGUCUGAGAGGAUGACCAGACAAAAGGGAACGGAGACACGGUCCAGACUCCUACGGGAGGCAGAAGUGGGGAAUAUUGCACAAUGGGCGCAAGCCUGAUGCAGCCAUGCCGCGUGUAUGAAGAAGGCCUUCGGGUUGUAAAGUACUUUCAGCGAGGAGGCGUUACUCGCAGAAGAAGCACCGGCUAACUCCGUGCCAGCAGCCGCGGUAAUAC